GAUGGACGCUGGCGGCGUGCCUAAUACAUGCAAGUCGAGCGAACAGACGAGGAGCUUGCUCCUCUGACGUUAGCGGCGGACGGGUGAGUAACACGUGGAUAACCUACCUAUAAGACUGGGAUAACUUCGGGAAACCGGAGCUAAUACCGGAUAAUAUAUUGAACCGCAUGGUUCAAUAGUGAAAGACGGUUUUGCUGUCACUUAGAGAUGGAUCCGCGCCGCAUUAGCUAGUUGGUAAGGUAACGGCUUACCAAGGCAACGAUGCGUAGCCGACCUGAGAGGGUGAUCGGCCACACUGGAACUGAGACACGGUCCAGACUCCUACGGGAGGCAGCAGUAGGGAAUCUUCCGCAAUGGGCGAAAGCCUGACGGAGCAACGCCGCGUGAGUGAUGAAGGUCUUCGGAUCGUAAAACUCUGUUAUUAGGGAAGAACAACUGUGUAAGUAACUAUGCACGUCUUGACGGUACCUACUCAGAAAGCCACGGCUAACUACGUG
rnacentral:rRNA from 1 species